rnacentral:rRNA from 1 species
UACGUAGGGGGCAAGCGUUGUCCGGAUUUAUUGGGCGUAAAGCGCUCGCAGGUGGUUCGUCGCGUCGUGCGUGAAAGACCCCGGCUCAACUGGGGAGGGUCGUGCGAUACGGGCGAACUGGAGGCCAGUAGGGGGAUGCGGAAUUCCGGGUGUAGUGGUGGAAUGCGUAGAGAUCCGGAGGAACACCUGUGGCGAAGGCAGCUCGCUGGGACGUUACUGACGCUGAGACGCGAAAGCGUGGGGAGCAAACAGG